CCUACGGGAGGCUGCAGUGAGGAAUAUUGGUCAAUGGACGAGAGUCUGAACCAGCCAAGUAGCGUGAAGGAUGACUGCCCUAGGGGUUGUAAGCUUCUUUUAUAAAGGAAUAAAACGAGGCACGUGUGCCUGUUUGAAUGUACUUUAUGAAUAAGGAUCGGCUAACUCCGUGACAGCAGCCGCGGUAAUACGGAGGAUCCGAGCGUUAUCCGGAUUUAUUGGGUUUAAAGGGAGCGUAGAUGGGUUGUUAAGUCAGUUGUGAAAGUUUGCGGCUCAACAGUAAAAUUGCAAUUGAUACUGGCAGUCUUGAGUACAGUUGAGGUAGGCGGAAUUCGUGGUGUAGCGGUGAAAUGCUUAGAUAUCACGAAGAACCCCGAUUGCGAAGGCAGCUUACUAAACUGUGACUGACAUUGAUGCUCGAAAGUGUGGGUAUCAAACAGGAUUAGAUACCCUUGUAGUC
rnacentral:rRNA from 1 species